UGACGGUACUUGACUAAGAAGCCACGGCUAACUACGUGCCAGCAGCCGCGGUAAUACGUAGGGGGCAAGCGUUAUCCGGAUUUACUGGGUGUAAAGGGAGCGCAGGCGGCCAUGCAAGUCAGAAGUGAAAGCCCGGGGCUCAACCCCGGGACUGCUUUUGAAACUGUAAGGCUAGAUUGCCGGAGAGGUAAGCGGAAUUCCUAGUGUAGCGGUGAAAUGCGUAGAUAUUAGGAGGAACACCAGUGGCGAAGGCGGCUUACUGGACUGUAACUGACGUUGAGGCUCGAAGGCGUGGGGAGCAAACAGGAUUAGAUACCCUG
rnacentral:rRNA from 1 species